rnacentral:rRNA from 1 species
GCACAAGCAGUGGAGUAUGUGGUUUAAUUCGACGCAACGCGAAGAACCUUACCAAGUCUUGACAUCCCUUGACAGGCAUAGAAACAUGUUUUCUCUUCGGAGCAAGGAGACAGGUGGUGCAUGGUUGUCGUCAGCUCGUGUCGUGAGAUGUUGGGUUAAGUCCCGCAACGAGCGCAACCCUUAUGGUCAGUUACUACGCAAGAGGACUCUGGCCAGACUGCCGUUGAUAAAA